AAGUAAUAUUUAGCCACAGGUUGAUUCAAACGUGGAUUGACGUUGAGUUCAACGGUAAUCCAGGAAGCUCUAAGGCCGGAACACUUACAGAAACAUGUCUUCCCCUCAUAACUCUUCACCUGAUAACUCCACACCUGACAAUUCCACACCUGAUAAUUCCACCCCAAAUAACUCGGUUCCUGAUAACUCCACGCCUGAUAAUUCCACCCCUGAUAAUUCAACCCCUGAUAAUUCCACUCCUGAUAAUUCAACCCCUGAUAAUUCCACCUGAGAUAACUCAUCAUCUUCUUCUCAUUCCACUCCUUCAGUGCUAAAUCAAUCUCCAACACCGCCUUCCGGGUCACACAAAUCGUUAUCAAAUCAAGGCAAGGACAUCGACACCAAGGCAAUAAUUGGAGGUGCA
rnacentral:lncRNA from 1 species